GACAAGGUGGCCGAGAGGUUAUGUCAAUGGACUGCUAAUCCAUUGUGCUUUGCACGCAUGGGUUUAAGUCCUAUCCUUGUCG